rnacentral:rRNA from 1 species
AAAUUGAAGAGUUUGAUCAUGGCUCAGAUUGAACGCUGGCGGCAGGCCUAACACAUGCAAGUCGAACGGUAACAGGAAGCAGCUUGGCUGCUUUGCUGACGAGUGGCGGACGGGUGAGUAAUGUCUGGGAAACUGCCUGAUGGAGGGGGAUAACUACUGGAAACGGUGGCUAAUACCGCAUAACGUCGCAAGACCAAAGAGGGGGACCUUCGGGCCUCUUGCCAUCAGAUGUGCCCAGAUGGGAUUAGCUUGUUGGUGAGGUAACGGCUCACCAAGGCGACGAUCCCUAGCUGGUCUGAGAGGAUGACCAGCCACACUGGAACUGAGACACGGUCCAGACUCCUACGGGAGGCAGCAGUGGGGAAUAUUGCACAAUGGGCGCAAGCCUGAUGCAGCCAUGCCGCGUGUAUGAAGAAGGCCUUCGGGUUGUAAAGUACUUUCAGCGGGGAGGA